CACUUGGCCACUCAUUAAUUGCACUGAGAGUGGAAGUAGAGAGAAGCGCGUUUUACGUUUUGUAAUAGUGGUUAAUAAAAACAGUGUUGACAGUACUGAAUAUAAUUUAGGCAUGAAAUCGGUAAUAAAAACCGCAGCUCUUUGCUGUAUUCUUUGACAGUCUCUCUCUCUGGUCAUGGGUUUAAAUGUUAUUAGUCGCACGUAGGCUAGUAUCAAACUUUGCUAUGGCCAGGCUAGUGGAAGAUGGAGGCACGGUGAUUUGAGCUAUCUGAUUGACCAGGACAGUAGGCACACUUGAUUUAGCCACAGAUCUCCCGGUCUGGCAGUGAAAAUUCCCCCCAAAGGAGGGGUUCGUCGAGGAACCUCCUUAGUUGGUGGGGGUUCUUGCUGGAACUGCCCAACUGAAACAUAUGGAAUUGAAAGGACAGCAGGUGUAGGCACUUAACUGAACAAUGUAAAGAUCGCCUCAAUUUAAGGUAUACAGAUGAGGAGGCAUACAAAGGUAUGUCAAUUGGUAUGUUAUGCAGAUCACAUGUACCACCCUCCCUUACCUCUUCAAUGAAAAUCCCAUAGGCCUCUACAUUAUGGACAAGAGUUGUCAGUUGUCUUGAAAGCACCAUAAAUCCAGAGAAUACCAGACUAUGAUGACAAAGUUUGACAAAAUUUGCCCACGAAGGACUGCUGCACCUUCUU
rnacentral:lncRNA from 1 species